AUCUUUUUAGUAUAAAAUUAAUACAAGAGACUUCCAAUUUUUUGAUCCUGGUUAGACUCCGGGAAAAGAUA
rnacentral:tRNA from 1 species